UAUCUACUCCCUCCAUUCGGAAUUACUUGUCUCGGAAAUGGAUGUAUCUAGAACUAAAAUACGUCUAGAUACAUCCAUUUCUGUGACAAGUAAUUCCGAACGGAGGGAGUACUCU
rnacentral:pre_miRNA from 1 species